CCUACGGGUGGCAGCAGUGGGGAAUAUUGCACAAUGGGGGAAACCCUGAUGCAGCGACGCCGCGUGAAGGAUGAAGUAUUUCGGUAUGUAAACUUCUAUCAGCAGGGAAGAAAAUGACGGUACCUGACUAAGAAGCCCCGGCUAACUACGUGCCAGCAGCCGCGGUAAUACGUAGGGGGCAAGCGUUAUCCGGAUUUACUGGGUGUAAAGGGAGCGUAGACGGCAUGGCAAGUCUGAUGUGAAAACCCGGGGCUCAACCCCGGGACUGCAUUGGAAACUGUCAGGCUAGAGUGUCGGAGAGGCAAGUGGAAUUCCUAGUGUAGCGGUGAAAUGCGUAGAUAUUAGGAGGAACACCAGUGGCGAAGGCGGCCUGCUGGACGAUGACUGACGUUGAGGCUCGAAAGCGUGGGGAGCAAACAGGAUUAGAUACCCCAGUAGUC
rnacentral:rRNA from 1 species